rnacentral:rRNA from 1 species
UACAGAGGGGGCGAGCGUUUGUUCGGAAUUACUGGGCGUAAAGGGCGCGUAGGCGGCCAACUAAGUCAGACGUGAAAUCCCUCGGCUCAACCGGGGAACUGCGUCUGAUACUGGAUGGCUUGAAUUCGGGAGAGGGAUGCGGAAUUCCAGGUGUAGCGGUGAAAUGCGUAGAUAUCUGGAGGAACACCGGUGGCGAAGGCGGCAUCCUGGACCGAGAUUGACGCUGAUGCGCGAAAAGCCAGGGGAGCAACGGG